GUGAACUGAAGAGUUUGAUCAUGGCUCAGAUUGAACGCUGGCGGCAGGCCUAACACAUGCAAG
rnacentral:rRNA from 1 species